GAGUUUGAUCGUGGCUCAGAACGAACGCUGGCGGCAGGCCUAACACAUGCAAGUCGAACGAUAAGCCACCUUCGGGUGGUGGACAGUGGCAGACGGGUGAGUAACGCGUGGGAACGUGCCUUUCGGUUCGGGAUAACCCAGGGAAACUUGGGCUAAUACCGGAUACGCCCUUCGGGGAAGGAUUCAUUGCCGAAGAUCGGCCCGCCGUCGGAUUAGCUAGUUGGUGGGGUAAGUGGCCUACCAAGGCGACGAUCCGUAGCUGGUCGUGAGAGGAUGACCAAGCC
rnacentral:rRNA from 1 species